rnacentral:rRNA from 1 species
GGGGGGGGGGGGGGGGGGGGGGGGGGGGGGGGGGGGGGGGGGUGGAGGAGGGGCUGGCGCUUCGUGGAUGAGUUGCGGACGGGUGAGGAACGCGGAGGUAACCUGCCUGGUAGCGGGGGAGAACGAUUGGAAACGAUAGCUGAUACCGCAUAAUAGUAGAUGUUGCAUGACAUUUGCUUAAAAGGUGCAAUUGCAUCACUACCAGAUGGACCUGCGUUGUAUUAGCUAGUUGGUGAGGUAACGGCUCACCAAGGCAACGAUACAUAGCCGACCUGAGAGGGUGAUCGGCCACACUGGGACGGAGACACGGCCCAGACUCCUACGGGAGGCAGCAGUAGGGAAGCUUCGGCAAUGGACGGAAGUCUGACCGAGCAACGCCGCGUGAGUGAAGAAGGUUUUCGGAUCGUAAAGCUCUGUUGUAAGAGAAGAACGAGUGUGAGAGUGGAAAGUUCACACUGUGACGGUAUCUUACCAGAAAGGGACGGCUAACUACGUG